rnacentral:pre_miRNA from 1 species
GGGCUGCCUUCUUCAGUACUUUGUUCAAUGACAUCCAAAUUACUGUUGAUGUCAGCCCCUC